ensembl:lncRNA
CCUGCCGUGCCUGCAGGCCCCGAGCGUUGCUGUUCUCCGCCGAGGCCGGAGGAAAUGGCCGCGGACACCCGAAGGCUCCGCUCGGCCCGGAACACAGCAGCCGUGCUGUUCCAGGACGGAGCGCACGCUCGUUCCGCCUCAGGGGCUCCCGAGCUCAUGCAGCCUGCCGUGCUGCUACGUGGCACUCCCGGGCGCAGUGGCGAGCUUUGGCACCGCUCGUUCGUGCUGCCUCAGGAACGGAUCCUGCUGCUCAGCAACACCUCUUUGGCGAAAAAAUACCCGCUGAGAGAGGAGCGAGGAAUCACGCUUAUGAAACAGUUGGCUUUUAUUGGGUCGCCCACCACAGGCUGGGUGCAGCUCCGCCUCAGUCCCGCUGAUGUUCCUUUCACGUGUCCUUGGCUUGCAAACAGGCGGCACGAGGACGAGGAGGAGCAGCAGCAGCAGCAGCAGGACGACGACGACGAGGACGAGGAGGAGCGCAGCCUGCGGACGGCCCUCCAGGAGCUGCGGGUGGACGCGGCGCGAUGCAUCGCGGCUCAGCCUGCGGGCGACGGGACGGUUCUCGCAGCGCCGGGGAGAAGAGCUGCAGAUGGAGCCCAGCAACCGUCCGUCUGCCGCCGGGAAGCACGGCAUGGGUGUGAGAGGACUGCAGGAGGACCGGCCAGUCUCUCACAACACGGACGUUCCAGAUCCAUCUGUGAAACAGCCCUGUGCAGCCCUCCCGCAUCCCGUUCUGUGGAGGCUCACAUGUAUGUCAGUGACGUGACUGUGGAAGACCUGGCAGGGUACCUGGAACACCAUCUGCAUAUACCAAAGAAAAUGUCUGCCAUGGCAGAAAUGAUGUACUCAUAACCAAACAUCAAAAACAGUCACAAUUCUAAGCACUAUCAGAAAUUUAAAUGGCUCGUUUGUGCCAUAUUUGCACUGUUCUGUGUUUAAUCAAAUGUUUUAUUACAUGGUACAGUUUAGUUUUGUAAUUAAGAGAAAAACUGUACAUAGUUGCAUAGACUCCUGUGGCUGAAAUGAUGUAUACUUAACUGAAAGCCAUAUUCAGUCACAUAGUAAUACAGUUUAUUUUUGUAACUUGAAUAAAAACUGUAUAUAGUCUCAUAAA